rnacentral:rRNA from 1 species
GACGAACGCUGGCGGCGUGCUUAACACAUGCAAGUCGAACGGAAAGGCCCCUUUGGGGGUCCUCGAGUGGCGAACGGGUGAGUAACACGUGAGUAACCUGCCCUUGACUUCGGGAUAACUUCAGGAAACUGGGGCUAAUACCGGAUAGGAAUCCUUGCUGCAUGGUGGGGGUUGGAAAGCUUCGGCGGUUUUGGAUGGACUCGCGGCUUAUCAGCUUGUUGGUGGGGUAGUGGCUUACCAAGGCUUUGACGGGUAGACGGCCUGAGAGGGCGACCGGCCACAUUGGGACUGAGAUACGGCCCAGACUCCUACGGGAGGCAGCAGUGGGGAAUAUUGCACAAUGGGCGGCAGCCUGAUGCAGCAACGCCGCGUGCGGGAUGACGGCCUUCGGGUUGUAAACCGCUUUCAGCAGGGGCGAAGCUUGUGGUGACGGUACCUGCAGAAGAAGCACCGGCUAACUACGUG